rnacentral:rRNA from 1 species
GAUGAACGCUGGCGGCGUGCCUAAUACAUGCGAGUCGAGCGAACGGACGAGAAGCUUGCUUCUCUGAUGUUAGCGGCGGACGGGUGAGUAACACGUGGAUAACCUACCUAUAAGACUGGGAUAACUUCGGGAAACCGUAGCUAAUACCGGAUAAUAUUUUGAACCGCAUGGUUCAAAAGUGAAAGACGGUCUUGCUGUCACUUAUAGAUGGAUCCGCGCUGCAUUAGCUAGUUGGUAAGGUAACGGCUUACCAAGGCAACGAUGCAUAGCCGACCUGAGAGGGUGAUCGGCCACACUGGAACUGAGACACGGUCCAGACUCCUACGGGAGGCAGCAGUAGGGAAUCUUCCGCAAUGGGCGAAAGCCUGGCGGAGCAACGCCGCGUGAGUGAUGAAGGUCUUCGGAUCGUAAAACUCUGUUAUUAGGGAAGAACAUAUGUGUAAGUAACUGUGCACAUCUUGACGGUACCUAAUCAGAAAGCCACGGCUAACUACGUG